AUCGGUGAUGUUGAGAGCCGUCGGGAAAGUGAUAGAGAGAGACGAGCUGGGUCGAGGGCGGAGAGAGGGAGAGCUAAGGGAGAGGGGAGGUGAUUCUGUUGGGGAGAAGUAGAGAGCGGGGGAAGGUGGUUGUAUCACUGGCCUUCGGGUUGUCGACAGACACUGAGAGAGAGAGAGGUACUGUUGUCAGAGGUGAGGGGAAGAAUGCGGCGAGGGAGACAAAAGAGGGAGUUACUACAACGAGAUGUGUAGGAGGAGGGGACAAUACGACACGAGCAUGAGGAUUGAUACCAUUCAUAUAAUUGGUUGGUUAUUUUUUUUACCUCUUUCAUUAUUUUAAACCUCUCAUUUUGUGCAUUGAGAAAGAAAAAUCUGGUUUUAAAAUGAUUAAUGCAAGUGAAUAUGCCAUUUCAAGCAUUCAACUUUACUAUGUCUUUUUUUUGGUUUUAUAUUGAAGUAUGCUAAUAUUUUGUAAUUAAUUGUACUUUCUCUGUGAUACUGCUUCGAUCUGAGCUUCGCACUGUGGAGCAUUUUUGAAAGUCUUCUCAAGAUUGUAUCUUGAUCUUGUACGGUACUAAAUAUUUGUCCAGCGUUGUGCAGGAGAGAAGAUCAAGGAAAGCAUGCAAUCAUGUGGAAAAUGAAAAAUAAGCUUGUAGUAAACUGGUGUGAGCUAUGAUGAUGGAUGGUUUUGGUACUUGCUAGUUGCUGCAUCUAUUGGUUCAUUUGUCCUCGGCAGAAAAUCGGAACUUUGACAUAUUCCAAGAUUGGCAGUACACAAGAACCUUAAGCGAUGUGGGACUGACGAAGUGCAUUGAUGAGAAUAAGACCUGGUGGCUGCUUUGAAGCAUUUUAUUAGUGUCGAGGAUACGCAUUGGUGGUUUGAGUUUUGAGUGUGGUAUAAUGAAAUUCAUGGAUGCCCCUUUUAUUGUCAAUUCAUAGAUGGCAACAGGGAAAUAGGUACUCUAAUCGGGUGCUGGAUGAGUUUUGGUACAAGUAUCUUGCUUUUGCGAUUGGAUGGGUUUUGGCACAUUGCAUUUUGGAUUCAUGAAUUGCUGGCAUAACACUUUUUUUUGCAGUGUAGUGCAUGUUCUACUCUCAAAUGGUGAUUGUGCAUUUUUGAGGUGAUUGUGCAGCUCCCAAAUGGUUCAAAUAUUGGACAAAAACUUGCAUACUACAUACUACCUGUUGAGGGUCCUGCUUUUCUUUGUGGCACAAAUUAGUAUUCUAGAGUCAGUGAAACAGCUAGUGAAAGAGACAUGACGGCCAAAGGACAUCUUUUCUGCAUCAUAAUCCAAGAGAAAGGAUUGCUACAGCAUCUCGUGGCACUUACUAGGUGAGAUACACUGACGCACACAAUUCACAAACCGUGAAAGCUUUGAUGGAUCAGCUGCAGCUACUCAUAUAUCCUUGGUUUUGUGGUUGUAGUAGCAGUAGGAGGGCAGCAGCCAUCCUCGUCUUCCCCAAUCUCAAUCUCCCUUGGCUUCCUUCUCCUUAGGCUUGCUGUUCUUCUUCGUCUUCAUGAAGCAGAAGCAGGAGCAGCAUGGGCACUGAAACAAGAACUUCAUGGCGUGUACCCUCCUAUGUUUUCUGAUCAAGGAAACUAUAUGACCUCAGUCU